rnacentral:lncRNA from 1 species
GUUACUUGAUUAGGAGGAAGAAGUCCUGUGACUGCAAAACGCAGGAUCUCAACAGCUACAACCUCCAGCCUCAUUGCUCUUUCGUUUUCUUCUAUCUCAGCAAGAAAAUUUACAACAGUUGGUGGAGAAUUUGAAUGAAUCUAUUUUCUAAUUUUGAACUCAUAAUCUCACUGAAGAGCAAGUAAGGUAUUUACCAAUUAAUUCAAGAAAUUAAAAAGUCAGUCUCAAAGUUUUAAUUUCUCUAACUUGACACAGAUUGAAACUUUUCAGUUCUAGCCAUCUCCUAUCACUUCUAAUUUCAAGAGACAUUCAUCUCUGCAUUUUCCC